rnacentral:rRNA from 1 species
CAGUAGCCGCGGUAAUACAGAGGGUGCGAGCGUUAAUCGGAUUUACUGGGCGUAAAGCGUGCGUAGGCGGCUAAUUGAGUCGGAUGUGAAAUCCCCGAGCUUAACUUGGGAAUUGCAUUCGAUACUGGUUAGCUAGAGUGUGGGAGAGGAUGGUAGAAUUCCAGGUGUAGCGGUGAAAUGCGUAGAGAUCUGGAGGAAUACCGAUGGCGAAGGCAGCCAUCUGGCCUAACACUGACGCUGAGGUACGAAAGCAUGGGGAGCAAACAGGAUUAGAUACCCGGGUAGUCCCUGUCUCUUAUAA